UAUUCCUGAAUGCAAUACACACGCAAUGUUGUCAAAUGUCGGAUAUAGCGGUACUAUGGCGUUUCCACCACCGAACGCCAUGCCAUAGCGCCAUGGCGCCGCCAUAUCCGCUAUUUGAUAACAUUGCGUGAAAGAAACAAAGGAUACAGCUUUUGUGACAUGUUCUGGCAGAGUUUAUUCGACUUCAGUUAACCAAGUAAGCGAUCUCAUUUUCUUACCAAAUUUUAACUGAACAUACUUUUUUAUGCCUUCUGUCAUGUGACCAAAAUUCAGUUUCAACCAAGUUCAAUUGAAUUAAUAAUGGUUUCUGUAAGGGAACUGCCCUGUUCUGCCAGGUUUGGGUAAAAUACACAUUUAUGGCUUAUGUUUUCAUCUAGUUAUGUUGAAUUUUGACUUAGUGGUUGUCUGGAUUGGAUAUUCAAAAUCAGUACAUUUUCUGUAGAAAUCUUGGGACAUGACAAUAGUUGAAAUACUUAUGUUUUAACCUUAUCACUUUUGAACAAGUGUAUGAAGAUGUGUUUGUUAAUGUGAAAUCUGGAUGGAGUAAUAGUAGUGUUGACUAAUCUAAUGUCUUGUAGAUGUAUGCAUAAAUAAUGGACAAUAAUUAUGAAAUUAAGUUAGAAAAUAAUGUUUAGUAGAUAGACACUAAUAGCAUGUAUUAAGUGUAUAAAUAGGUUUAUUGGAUGACAAUAUGAAUUUGAUACUUUCUAUGUGAAGGUAAUAUAUAUAUAUAUAUUGAAAGGUAACAGGACAUAACAAGGACCAGGAGCAUGGAUAAAGUGAUUCAUAUGUCAAAGGUGUUUAGCAUUUUGAGAUUAUAGGAUUAUACUAGCCCUUUUGCUCUUUUGUUGUAUAACUGCUGCUCAAGUCAGGUCACUGGCCAAACUUUUUGUGUUAGAAAUAAAAUUCUAUUGGAUAUGUUAGAUGUGACAUGUAGUGUAAUGUAGUUUGGACAUUUUUUUUACCUUUUUAUCCAGAUUGUAUAGAUUUAUAUAUGCUUUUGGCAAUAGGUUUUAUGGUCUAUUUUUAGAAGUUAUAUAGCAGUUUUCCUGUUUGACAAGUAAAGGGAAAUAAGGUAUCUAUUUAUAAAAAGAGAUUUUCCGUUAA